AAACCAAAGCUGGCGACCGGCGCACGGUGAGUAACACGUAUCCAACCUGCCUCAUACUCGGGGAUAGCCUUUCGAAAGAAAGAUUAAUAUCCGAUAGCAUAUAUUUCCCGCAUGGGUUUUAUAUUAAAGAAAUUCGGUAUGAGAUGGGGAUGCGUUCCAUUAGUUUGUUGGGGGGUAACGGCCCACCAAGACUACGAUGGAUAGGGGUUCUGAGAGGAAGGUCCCCCACAUUGGAACUGAGACACGGUCCAA
rnacentral:rRNA from 1 species